GUUGCUAACCAGGUGGUCCAGGCACUCCUCACACAAAAGGACUUGAAAGAGGAAUGCGUGAAACUGCGGACCCGUGUGUUUGACUUGGAGCAACAGAACCGUAUACUGAGUGUGCUGUUUCAACAACGUGUCAAAAUGUCUGCUGUUCCCAUCUCCCAGGAGGGCCAAAGAAAUGGAAAAGCAGGCAUUCCUUCAGGAAGGUGGCCAAGCCUGCUGAGCCUCACGUGCCCCCGCAGCAGUGGGAGCGGCAGCGGCAGUGAACUGUCACUGUCCAGUGCAUGCAGUGAAUUCUCCACUGGCUCCCACACUUGGGCAGAAGGGCGUGGCUCCUCUAAGCAAAAUGCUUCAAGCCGGGACAAACGGUUGAGUAAUGGCUCCGUAUCCAGCAAUCAUUCUGCACCCACUGAGCAAAAAGACAUUGGCUGGAAGGAGGGGCAUAUUUUAAAAGGCCUAAAGCGUCUUCAAAUGAGCAACUCCAAGGAUGCAUCUUCACUUGCUUCUGAACCACACUGCAAAGAUUGCAUGACCUCCAAUGAGGGUAUUUAUUCUCUUGGUGUUAAGUGUGGACAACAAGCGAUUGUAGCUAAGCAGGGAAUCCCUUCAAAUAAGCCUUUUAAAGGAAAAUCAGAGGUUGCCACUCUGGAAUCGGAUGAUCCAGAUGAGGACUCACCAAGGGAGUCUAGAGAUCAACCAAAGAAGGAGCAUCUUUGUUUGGAGAAAUUGGAUCAUGGGAAUGAUGACAGCUUUCAAGAAGACUCCUUGGGACGUUCAGGUAUUUCUGGUCUUUUCCCAUCACCUGGUUCUGACAAGUUCUUAUUUUUGGAGGGCCCAUCAGUGAAACCUGGUGUGAGCCCAUCUGAUAGCCUCACACAUCUGGAAGACACAAACACAAACUCGUUGGAGAAGCACAGGACAUCAAGCCUAAAGUUCAGUGACAGAAAUAAUAACCAGGAGCGGUACAGUGAACGUAAAUCCAGACUUGAUGAUAACAAAAGACAACAGGAAAUAAACUCACAUAAGCAAGUGGAAACAGUCACAAAUGGCGUAGACUUGUCUAUUCAACAUGCUGCUAUGAGAGCUCUUAGCUACACGCAUGAUUCAAGACAGCGCAGCUCCUCAGUGGAGGUCCCUCACUGCAGAGAGCAAGCUCAUCAAGCUCAAAGUGAAACCAAAGAUUCCACCAUCUUGGAGUCUCCACAGAGGAAGCCAUUGCCCCCAGUGUGUGACUCUGCAAGGAACGCUUUCAUUCUCCGGAGCAAAAGCGCAGAUGGAGGGCAAGAAAAACUCAAGCAUUCUCCUCUACACCAAAAGCUUAUAAAAGGUCAAAGAGCAAAAGGACAGACAAACCAAAACCUUUCAGGACACAGUGUUUCUAGCAAAAGGACAAAUGUCAACAAACCCUAUGGCUCUUGUCAGGAAACAUUGUCCAAAUCUGAGGAAGUUGGAGAUUCUAUAAUAUCAUCUAGUUCCAAGUCUGUUGAGAAUGUACAGCACGGCUCUCCUCUUGCAUCUCCUGUGAAACAAUCAAAGGUUGUCAAGAACUCAGGCAUCAACGAGGGCGCAAAAAGUCCAGCAAAAUCCUCUGUGCACAUAAGUAGGCUCUCGAGUGGUGACUCUGUGGAAGAAAGCAUCUACGACAAUUUACCCUGCUCACCAAGAAAACAGCGGCGCCAGGACAAGCACUGUGAAGUCUCCCAAACUGAGCCUAGAUCUCCCUCCUCGCCUCUCACCCCAGGUCAAAGUAUUGCCAUACUAUUUACGCACAACUCUGAUCAAAAAACAUCUGGGAAACAAACACCAACAACAUUGAAGACCCAAACAAAUGAGUUUGUUUCUUCAUCACAUACUGAAAUUCUUGACCCCCUAAAAGACAAUCAACAAACAGCUCAACAAAGAGGUGCUGAAUGUAAACCUAUGAAAGAUAUACCUACCAAUAUUCACCACACCCACAAGAUACCACCUGUCCCCAUACAAGAAUCCCAGCCUCCUGAGUCAGUCCAGUUAUGCACUCACAGAAACGCCCCAUCUCUUGGAGAAAAUGCAGCUGCUGCAAUAUUUCCCCAUCCAAGCAUCCUUCACAGAUCUCAACAGAGCAUUAGUGAGCCAAAGCUUUCAGAAUUUAUGCCACCAGUGUACUCUAACAUUUAUUACCAUGGAAAUUCCCAAAAUCCACCAUCUUCCUCAUCGAGGGCUAUGAAGAGGACUUUCCCUGCUAAUGCUAAAUCUCAUGAAGCAAUUGCUGGUCAAGAUACAAGUACCUUCCUUGUUUUUGGAAGACAACACAAAGAUGAUCUGAAAAGUGCACAAACCUUUCAAACUUUUACUUGUGACCCCCACGUGUGCCACAGUGGGGCACAUGACAAAGUUCAUAGAAAGAUUGAGACUCGUUGUAGUUCCCUAGACUCUGAGCCUGUUCGACCUGUUGCCACAGACAGCAGUGUGAUGUUAGACUGGGGAUUCGAUGAGGAAGGUUGGCUGUUCAAACGCUCAGUGUCUGUUUCCACCAGGCCUCUUUUCAAACCUGUAAUGGGCAUGAAUGGUGCAAAGGCUCGCAGUCAGAGCUUUGGUGCACGCUACAUGGACCGGCCGAGCUUCAAUAGAUCCGGUAAAGUUCGCACUCAGAUCAAAACACACUCUGGGAGCUCUUUGAAUUCUCUUGGGGAUGUCCUUCCUGGUAGUAUGAGUUGCUCCAGUAGUUACCAUUGUCCAAUGAAUAGAUCCCUUUUGAACAACUUUUUGAUUGAAGAGGGACUAACUGUUCCCACGCAGUUGGGUUCCUCCAGUGAAAGGCUUCAGAGCCUGAAACUUCAACGAGAGCAAGCUAGGCGGGUUCAGAUUGAGCAACAAUUUUCCAGCGCCUUUGGGGAGCCAGUCUCAGAAGAACCAGAAAGACAAAGUACCAUAACCACCAUUGAAGAGAAAGUUAUGCUUGGAAUUGAGGAGAACUUGCACAAAUCUCAGGAACAAGAGAGAACGAAUGAAAUCAAGCAAAAGUCUGGCUCAAGUCUUGCAAAUUGGUUUGGUUUUCGUAAAAGUAAGCUGCCGGCACCAAGUAACAAGAAGGCCGAACCAGUCAAAGUCAAAGAGGAAAAACGGGAGCAAAAAAUUACAUCACUUUUGGGAGGGAAGAAUGCAAAGUCUGACAAAAAGAAAGAACGAAGGAAGAGUGAUGGAAAAGAAAGCUCUGUUGGAAGAAGAGAGUCUCAUGAUGCAGUGAGGGCAUGCAUCUCAAUGCCCUGCCCAGGAAUGUCAAUGAGUGAAAUUCAGGGACACACAAACGUCAUCGGGGAACCAAAGUUGCAGGUGAUGAGUCUGAGAGCUGAUGAUGACAAAGGUUCCACGGUGAAGAAUGUCCCCAAGGAUGCAGUAAUAGGCUCUGGUUGCAAGACGCGAACAUUGGAUAGUGGAAUCGGGACCAUCCCUCUCCCAGAAUCCUGUUCCUUCUUCUCCUCCAUUCUGCACCUCCUGCCUAAAUCCUCCUCAACCCCAGAGCAGUCCCUUAUUUCUCCCAGUGUCCCUGGUUCAUCCAGCAAGGAUGUGUCUCCUUCCCCGUUACCCCGAUGGAGAGUACCCUCCAGCUCUAAGGACACCAGUCAUGCAGGGGUGCCGAACUCCAUGUCUGAUUCCUCCAUGACCCAUAUCCCAUCAGUGCCUUUUCCCUCUGUGGCCUUUCUCCAGCCCAUUCAACCCUCGUCUGAACCCUUUUUAACCUCUGCAAGUUUGUGUGAUUCGCAAAGCAGGCUGUCCAUGUCGACACAAGGUGGAGUGGAGCCAAAGAAAAUGACUAACAUCAAAUCGAAAGGACAUGUCACUCCAGGUCAACAGAAAGAUCAGACCAGGCUUCAGCUUGCCAACUAAAAUCUGAAGCUGUGAGAGCUGGCUUGAAGGAGAAACGAAGAAAUCGAUUAUCUCUCUACCAUAUAUAGAAGAUCCAUAAAAUUCUACACUUUAAAUAUGGUGUCUGCGUGUGCGGAUUAACACCCAAGAAUGAACAGCAUGUGGCAUUAAAGGCUCCCUUGCAGUGCAAAGAUACAGUGGGGAGUCAAGUUCUCUGGCAAACAUUUACGGAAGACCACACCUUACUGGCAGCAGCUGUGAACAACAAACGGAACCUCUAAAUGUGCAACCCCCGACAUUUAUUGACAACUUUUCGGCUGUGUACAUAGCACUUGAUCAAUUUCUAUGUAGCUACUUUCCUUCUCAACCAGCAAAUAAGGAGUGCAUGUGAGCCAAACAUAUCACUCAGUCAGCUGAAGUAUCCAUGGCAUGAGAACAGCAGCUGCAUUCAAGUUCCUUCAGGACCACAGAACACAUGUUUGCAUCUGAUGGAAUCAUUUAUUUAUGUUUAUUUAUGAAGUGUAAAGGAAUGCAUUUAGAAAAAUAUUAGGCACACCAGAAAAAAACAAAUCCUUUAAAGGAAGGAGACCUGACGGGAGUAAAAUGGCAUUAUACAUACAAUAAAAUCUAUUUUCUUAUUUAUUUAUUUAUUUAUUUAUUGAGUUUCAAACUCAACAACUCUGUUCAAGAAGAUCAUCUAAAAUCAAGUGUGGUUAAAUUAUAGUUGUAGAGAAAGAAAUCAUUAAAAAAAAACUAAAGACCCUUGUUUAACCAACAGAAAACACUUCUAAUGUUUUUACUGGCAUAGAAAUGAAAUUACUUUUAUUAUUAAUUUAUGCCCAUUUUUAUGGAUGAUUUUUUGAUGAUUCCUUUAAAUAAAGAAAAAAGAAAAAAGGGUUUGAUGUAAAACAUUUUUAGGGAGUAAUACAGUUAGAGCAACAACAAGGAUAAUUAACACAAAUGUUCACAGAAUUUAUGAAGGUAUUUUUAGAUGUAGCCAGGAAAAACAGACAAUGAAUUAAAUAUACAAUUUUUCAAGAUAUAACUUGUUGGAUGGAAAUGAUAACUAUUUUAAAUAUCGGACAAAUGCACAUAGAUUGUUAAAGGUGAGUUCUCCAUUAGACUAAAAAAGCUAAAUAAAAUGCUUUAUGUUGGAGCGUGAAACUAAAAAUGUGUGUAGAAAGUAAUUAUUUCUACCCGCAAUUCUUUCAUACCAUAUCCAUAAAUAUUGAGGAAAAAAUACAGCAAUAGAAAAAACCUUUCAUCUUAUUUUACCUUAGGUUUUCCAUUCAUGCAUUUUUUGUUGGUGCUUUAUCAGAUUCAGGGUGGCCUGCAGUCUCUUGAGGUUGGUUUCUGAAGCGAAAAAAAGCACAAUAAUUUCAAAAAGGUACAUACGUGUUUUUUUCUAAACAAGGGUUUGAUAAGGAAUCAGAUAGUCUCCAAUCACUUUCCAGGCAUUCUUUGUUUGUUUGUUUUUGCCACACAGCGGGCAAUGGAUGAGUACCUCUGAUGACCCAAAAAUAACAAAACUGCCUUCAAGUACAUUGUAAUUCUCAUUAUGUGCAUGUUAAAAAUACUACUUAAAAAUAUUAAGGUGCAAUAUAGAUCUUAGAUGUCAUAGUUUUGAACUGGCAUCAGUUGGAAUCUCAUCAGUCAUGUCUGAAGCGUAUCUUGUGUACAGCACUAACUGUUGGAUGCCAUUUCUGAACCUGUGAUUCUGUAACGUGUCUACUAGCAAUUCUAAGAUGUCCUAUGUUAAUCGCAACAAUGGUAAUUCCGUAUGCAUGCAACAAGCUGGGUUUGUCCAAAUCUAAUAUCAUAACCAUGAACUUUGUUGCAAGUAAACACAUUUUAUUCUACAAAUCUUGACUUUGUUAAAUAUUUCAUUAUCAUUACAGUUAACCUUUUAUUGCUCUAUGAGUGUUUCUUUUCAUAUAAAGGAAAAUGUCUUUUUUUUUAAUUGAUGAUUACAUCUAUUUGUUUGAAGUGUCUAUAUUUCCACAGUAAUGACAUCAAGAUAAAAUGUAUUUUUGCUUGUAACCUUAAGUUAAAGAGUUGGAGCAUAGUGGACGUUGUUUUACUAGCUCAGGGAAAAUACCAAUUGUUGUCUGUGAUAGAUGCUGUGGAUUAAAGAAGUACACUGCACCUCGAAUAAGGCUAACUACUUAUUUAAACAAAAGCACCAGGUGUCAUUGUUCAUGUUUCAGUUUAGAGUAGCCAACAUAUAAUCAGUAUCUUCUUAUUGUCAGACCACGAUCACUCAGUCUUUCUGUUGUAUAUGCUGUUUUUUUCUAUAACUGCUUUGUGUCAUAACUGCAUUCCCACAUAUUUAGCAAUUGAAGCUGCUUUGCGGCAUUUCCCUGCCACACCUUUGUCUCUGCUUCUCAUGUGUACAUAUUUGGCUCAAUGCAUAUAGCCAAACUGCUCGGAGCUCGUGACAUAUUUAAACAGAUUGCAACUACAUCUUAACAUCAGACUCGUCAUUGUGACUAUAGCCAUAUUUUUUUGGAAAACACUUGAGACAGUUUGCAGGUUUAAGCACUGUAGCAUUGCACACUGAUUAGUCUUGUUAUUCUACUUUAUUUACCUCUUCUUCCAUUAUGCACUUAAGAAGUACGUAUAUUUCGAAGGAAGUAUCUGUAAAAACUGCAGCGAUGUUUACAGCAAUAGCAACACGUGUAUAAAAAAGAAAGGUACACAGGUGAGAGGAAUAUUAGGGGACAGACUUACUGAGCUGAUACGGGUAGGCGGAGCAUCUGUAUAUUAAAAUGACUCGCGUAAAGAAUAGCAUCACUUUCACAAGAGUGUUGUAUUUUUCUAAAAAGGUACUUUAAUUUCUUGUGUUGCUAUUUGGCACUAAUAAAUGUAUGUUUAUUGCACGUAUUGUUUCUCACUAUCACUUUAAACUGUCCUUAAUGUUUUUCCAUUUAGAACCUAGUUAAAACAGUGAUGUUCUAGUGUCAAAGUCACCUAUAGUAUGGACUCAUAAUUGUUUACUACCAAUAUUCUUUGUUUUAUGUCAAAGACUGAAAAAAAUAAACUAUUUCAAUACUUAUUUAUGUUCCAAGGUGUUUGAUUGAUUGAAUACCUUUACCAGCAAUGUUAAAAAGCUGCAGCUGAGACUGUUUCAACAAGACGAUACUUCUGGUUUGCUGCUUCUGCUGAGUACAGUCAUGGUGGUGGAGUGGUAAUGAGUUGGGCUCGUUUUUAUUGCGAAACAACAAUGCAGUAUGGGAAACGAAUUAAUUUUCAGCAAAAAACAUUUCCAAAAUUAAAUCUUGUAAUGUUAUCUCCUUGUAGUUCUUCAUUAAAUACUUUACAGCAUUGUGCAUCAGAACUUUGACAAACAGAAAAGCAAGCUUUCAGAUAUAUUGAGGGGAAUUAACUUACACAAACCAGC
rnacentral:lncRNA from 1 species